AUUAACACUUUCAUUGCUACCUGUAGGUACGUUUGUUUAUCAAAACUAAAACGCAAAUAUAGGAUCUUGUUCGGAAGAAACUUGCAGAGCAAGAAAGAAAAGAACUUACAACCCAAGUGCGAGUUCUGGAUAAUCUCUUAGACAAUGCAUGAAUGCAGUAAGCAAUAUCUGCUCGUGGUUGUAUCACAGAUGUCGCGGAGAAUAUCUCUGCACAAACACAACCCGUCAUAUGUUAAAGUUCUUGAAUCAUAUCCAAAUCUUGGAGUAGCAGAGGAAACUUACUACGAACGUGACGUUCUUUGGGAGGAGACUCUACAUGAUUGGUUGCCUUUACGAUCGCGAUGUCUAGAUCCUAAUAAUGUAUAACGAUCAAGAAUCAAGAACAUGCAUAGAUCAUAACAUAUGUGAAGAUCAGGAGAAAGAGACCUUGAAUUCGCUGUUGACCUUAGCGAGACCAACGGUGGUGGAAUCCUUGAGGGCUCCAUAGGCUUUGCGUAAGCUCGUGAACGUUCCCAUGUCGAGUUACACUUUUGUCUGAAAAUCAAAAUCUGGAUCUUGAAAUGGUACGUGGUGUGAUAUGAUGAUGAGAAAGAGAGAAAAACAAGCAGACUUUCGUCUUCCUCGCCUUCAAAACGUGCGUAACAGAAUACUAAUGAUCUUGAUUCUUGAUCAUUUCCUUUUUUCAAUAAUUAAUAUAUUUUUUAGGACGUCAAUCAUGUCGUAGUCGCGAGAUCAUUACGGUGGUCUCUGAGAUGUUUAUUAUUAUUAUUUUGACGGUACUAUCUUAAGUAUCUUAAACAAUGUAAUUGUGUGUGUUAGUUUUUAUCAAAAAUAACGAAACUAGUUUGUUAAUUGGUUGAUCAAUUAUUUGAAGGGGACGUCAAAAAAGGAGUAAAACAAAUCGUGCUUAUAUAAGCGAACCGUGUCAAUUAUAUCAACGGCAGAGUUUUUUUUUUGUUAACUAGGAGGGCUUUGGACUCUAGUCUCUCCCAUGGCAUGGAGUCAGCCUUUUCUGAUACCAUUUAUAGUGUAAAGCAUUCCUCCUACCAGAUUUUGAACAAAAAGCACGAUAGUAUCAACGCUUGCGCUUAACUGGCUUUACCACGUCCGGUGGUAUCAACGGCAAAGUUUGGAAAGGUUCUUAGAAAUAUCAUGACUAGUGAUUGAACAUGUGGUAAUGUUAGAUUCUGAAGUUGUAACGAGUUGAUGAAUUCUUGAAAGCCAUCUUUACAAAACGAAUCAGAAUAAUAUAUUUUUCAAGGUCAACUAAUAAAUCUGUAACAUGUUGCUUUUGCUGCAACCGGUGCAACAAUGGUUGGGGUAACACCAGUGUUGCAUCUGGAAAUGUCUUGAAUCUUUGUACACUAGUAAAAGUCCAGCAUUCAUAGGAUCGGAUGGUACAUAUUAUAGGAUUAGAAAAUUUUAUUUUUUUCUCGAUAAUUAUUUAUUCUUAAAAGAAUAAGAAAAACGGGUUUUGAGGUUAUUAUAAAUAUGGGUAUAACGAGUUAUACAAUUAUUCAUUCACAUAAUAAUAUACAAACUCUCAAAGAGUAUUUGUCUUAAUACGUUUUGCUUUUUGCUUUCUUCGAGUUUGAUUUGCGUUCAAGCCCCAGUUUUGUUAGGGAACCAUGUGAAAAAAGGAGACAUGUAAGAAGCAGUUUUGUCUUUUCUCAAGAACAACACUUCAAGAAAAUAUCUUCUAACCUCACUCGAUCUUAACUUUCAGCUUGGUUAUUUUCAUUUGGUGGAAGCACCGUUAUAUGCGUCUUCGAAAAGGACUCCAUCCGUAUCGAUGAAGAUCUCUUAGCUAACAGUGGUAGGUCCUUAGAGACACUAGUUAGUGUUGGUAUGCAACUAGGUGUCUGGACACGUACAUUGGCUGGUUAUACAUAAAAUAAUUGGCCCACAUAGCAUUUGGUUUUAUUUGAUUAGAUUUGAUUUCCCUCUUGUUUCGUGCAUAAAUAAGUUUGUAUACAACCAACAAUUUACCGUUGGUAUAUAUAUUUAUACAAUGACUUGAGUUCAACACUAUCCUUAUGCAAAAACAAGAAAACAACUUUUAUUCGUUUUGAUCCCUCACUUUCUCUGAAUUAAAAUCUUCUUCAUAAUCCUUAUUUAAGGAAGGAAAAAAGCCUAUACUAUAAAUCAAGGAACAAAAAUGAGGGUGACAAAAUUUAUAAAAAACUAAGAA